CGGACACCCCCACCGCCCGCGGCCGUCGCCCCCCAUCCGUUGCCCCUACCCUGCGGAGGAGGAUCAGAAGUAUGCAGACAAACACAUCAACCUUUGCCGGUCCCAACAUCGUCCAUAUGCAGCUUCCUGUCAGAGCAAACUGAUCCCUGACACCUAGAAGACAUGUGUAAUUAUGACUGCCUCAUGCACAUAGCAAAAAUGUUUCAGACUCUGUCUUCUUUUGUUUUAUAGUCGUUUAAAAUUUGUCACGCUGCUCCUCUAGGUGGUCUUCUUUAGUUUGAUGUACUCUUCGCUUCUGUCGCUGAAGAAGCGAAGGGGAUGGAGGAAGAAAACUGAGAUAUUGGCUGUGGGGUUGUGGAUUUGUGUUCUCUGACUCAAUAUCCCCUUGUAUUCCUCAUGCACUCACGAAACACCUUGCCCUGAAAUUUCAAAAGUGGAAAUCGAGUGGCGGAUCAACAUCGGAAGGAACCCAAACUAACCUUUUCAACGGUGAUUUCAUAUUUGUCUUUCCAACUCUGAUUUAGUAGUCUUUUCGUGCUGUAAAUUGCAGGUUUGGCAAGAAACUUCGGCUUAAUUUUUUUAAUAGUGAUCUUAGUAGUAUUUUCAUGCUGAAGAUUUCAGAUUUGAUAAGAUACUUUGACUUAAUAUUUUCUAUGGUUGUAUUCCAGAGAAAUAUUGAGGUGUGAAGUUAGUAUACGAGAUGAAGAAUAUCCACAUCAUCUGUAUUGGUAGUGUACCAUUCUGAUUUUUGUUCCUGUCGGAUUUGCAGAUAGGUGCAGCGGGAGUGAUAGAAGUAGUGAGGUGUGAAGUUAGUAUACGAGAUAUAGGUGCUCCACACCAUGUGUAUUGUUGCGUAAACCUUCUCUGAUCACUUGAAGGUACACCCCACAGCCAAUAUCUACGAUUUUUUGUCAUGUUUUAAUUCUCUGAAUCUGUUCAUAGAUCAUGUACGCUGUUAUUUUUCCUAGAGUG